UCCCUGACCGUGUCUUCCUUGAGGUGGCA
rnacentral:piRNA from 1 species